rnacentral:rRNA from 1 species
UACGGAGGGUGCAAGCGUUGUUCGGAAUUAUUGGGCGUAAAGGGCGUGUAGGUGGCUUUUCAAGUCCGGUGUGAAAUCCCACGGCUCAACCGUGGAACUGCAUUGGAAACUGGAUGGCUCGAGGGUUGGAGGGGGUCGCGGAAUUCCCGGUGUAGAGGUGAAAUUCGUAGAUAUCGGGAGGAACACCAGUGGCGAAGGCGGCGACCUGG